rnacentral:tmRNA from 1 species
GGGACUGAUUAGGUUUCUACGUAUUGUAUUUAGUAUGUUUUAGUGUUGACUAGUAUAUAUAGUCUUUUUUUAAAUGCAAAAAAUAAUAUUGUAGUUUUUUCUAAAAAUUUAGUAUAUGCGUAAAUUACAGAACGUUAAAUCAUCUAUUUCUUUGUAGUUUGAUGUAUCAUUUGAAAUACUCUUAUUAAAAAUAUUAAAAUUAUUUUAAUGAGUAAAGUAUAAAUUAGAAAAAUAGUUGAAGUUUUCAUUGUUACCAGUCAACUGAGAUAUCAACUGAAUAUAUUACAUCAAUACGGACGCGGGUUCGAGUCCCGCCAGUUCCA